rnacentral:rRNA from 1 species
CCUACGGGAGGCAGCAGUGGGGAAUAUUGCGCAAUGGGCGAAAGCCUGACGCAGCGACGCCGCGUGAGGGAUGAAGGUCUUCGGAUCGUAAACCUCUGUCAGCAGGGAAGAACGGUCACUGUGCUAAUCAGCAGUGAAUUGACGGUACCUGCAAAGGAAGCACCGGCUAACUCCGUGCCAGCAGCCGCGGUAAUACGGAGGGUGCGAGCGUUAUUCGGAAUUACUGGGCGUAAAGCGCUCGUAGGCGGUAUGUCAAGUCAAGGGGGAAAUCCCCGCGCUCAACGUGGGAACUGCCUUUGAAACUGGCAAACUGGAGUGUGUGAGAGGAUAGUGGAAUUCCAGGUGUAGGAGUGAAAUCCGUAGAUAUCUGGAGGAACAUCAGUGGCGAAGGCGACUAUCUGGCACAUAACUGAUGCUGAGGAGCGAAAGCGUGGGUAGCAAACAGGAUUAGAUACCCGUGUAGUC